rnacentral:lncRNA from 1 species
UUUUUUUUUUUUUUUUUUUUAAAUGCAUAGCAAUGCUAACCGGGUCUUUAGAACCUCUUUGUCAUUCUCAGUAGGCGUCAUUUUGAGAUGGAAUAAGUAGAAUUGAGAAAAAGAAACUAAAUAUUUUUUUCUAUAAGGCUUUUUUUAAAGAUUAAAAGAAAUCAUGUUAGCCAAAAGCAAAAAAACUAGAGUUGUACUUCAAUCUUUAUAUGACGGUACUUUUUGCUUCAUUUUUAGUGGGUUUGCAACUAUGUCCAUCAUCAAAAGUUCUUUUUAUUUAACCUACUUAGAAUUCUAUUUUUUUUUUAAUUUCUAGAUAAUACCUCCAUAUUUAAACAUUUUUAUUGGACAAUUUGGUAGUAAUUUGAGUUCAUUUAUUUCUCAAAUUAUAGAAGAUGUUCAUUCUAACUUCUCAAACUAUCUAGUAGUUUCCUUCUACAGCAACGCCAAAAGAAAACAACCCUUUUUAAGUUCUCUUUUAUGGCACUAUAUUUAGAAAAUGCUUACAUUGAUAUCUUGUUUUCAUCACAAGUGAUAUACAUCAUACCUUAUUCGACAGAUUGCUGGCUUAUGCAGUUUUAGAAGUCACCACAUACGAAAUUUAUAGCAAACUGCGUACCAAAAAGUAUUGAAGUUAGAAUCCAAAAAAAAAAAAUUUUUUAAAUUUUUGUUUGGGUGCACAUCACAAGGACUCAAUAAAAUUAUGUUUUAUAUGGUUCUGUUCAGUCGUUGUAUAUAUUUAAAUUUUUUGUGUAUAAAUACACCGUAAUAUUAUAUUAAAUAUUUUAUUUAUAUCUAUCUCAAAUAUAAUAAUAAAAUAUAGGGAAAAUCGUCCAAAACGUCCCUCACAUUUUGUAAAAUAACUUUUUUCGUCCCUCACUUUUAAAAGUAUAAUUUUAUAUCCCUUACAUAUUCACUUCGGACAAAUUUAGUCCCUAACUAGGUUUCCGAUCAUUUUUUGGCCGGAAUCCAUCAUGUGCAAGGCACGUGAUCAUUUUUUAAGGGUAAAUUUGUCAAAUUAUAUUUUACAUAAUCUGAUCUAUAGUCCUCCACAUUUUAUAAAAUAAAUUUUUUCGUCAUUUUAUAAAAUGAUUUUUUUCAUCCCUCACAUUUCACAAAAUGAAUUUCUCCAUCCCUCAUAUUUCAAAAAAUGAAAUUUUCAUUUCUUACUAAUUAUGUGUGUGAAUACAUUUUUUUAAACACAUGUAUAUGCUUAUUUGAUUUUGCUUAAUAAUAAUAGCAUAAACACAUGUAUGUAAUUGGGCCCAACUUGUGGGCUAUCUUCUCUUUUUGUAUGAUUAUGACUAAUAUUUACCAAUAGAACCUUAAUUUGCAUAUUUUUAUUGUAUUUUGACCGAAAAUAGUUUUAUUAGCCAACUUGACAAUGAAUGUAAGAUUAUUUACUAGCUAAUACCAGAUGAAAUCAAAUGAUCACGUAUAAUAUAUGGUAUUCGUAUUGUUAAGUGAAAUCAAAUAGACACAUACAUAUAUUUAUGCUAUUCGUAUUAUUAAGCAAAAUCAAAUAGACAUAUACAUGUGUUUAAACAAAAUGUAUUCACACACAUAUUUUUUUAGGAUUUCCCUCACAUACAUUAUUAGUGAGGGAUGGAAAUAUUCAUUUUUUGAAAUGUAAGGGAUGGAGAAAUUCAUUUUGUGAAAUGUGAGGGAUGAAAAAAUCAUUUUAUAAAAUGUGAGGGACGAAAAAAUUUAUUUUAUAAAAUGUGGAGGACUAUAGAUCAGAUUAUGUAAAAUAUAAUUUGACAAAUUUACCCUUCAAAAAUGAUCACGUGCCUUGCACAUGAUGGAUUCCGGCUAGAGAUGUAAUCGAGCCGAGUCGAGCUCGAGUAGUGCUAUACUCGAGCUCGACUCGACUCAUAUAUCCCUAGGCUCGAGCUCGGCUCGAGCUCGAUCGAGUCAAAAAAAUUGAUACUCGAAACUCGACUCGAUGUACUCGCGAGUAGCUCGAAACUCGACUCGAUAACGAAGGGUAUUUUGUAAAUUCCAUAUAACUUAUACCCAUAAUGGUCAUUUUAUAAUUAUAAUACAUAUAUAUUAUUUAAAUUAUAAAUAUAUUAUUUAAAUAACCCCGGUUCGACGAGCCUCGAGUCGGGGAUUUUUGACUCGAAACUCGACUCGAUUUUCAUUCGAGCUACUCGAAACUCGGCUCGAACUCGGUCAACCCGAGUUCGAGCCAAGUCGUUGACCAAGCUACUCGCGAGUAGCUCGCGAGUAGCUUGGCUCGCGUACACCCCUAAUUCCGGCCAAAAAAUGAUCGGAAACCUAGUUAGGGACUAAAUUUGUCCGAAGUGAAUAUGUAAGGGACAUAAAAUUACACUUUUAAAAAUGAGGGACGAAAAAAGUCAUUUUACAAAAUGUGAGGGAUGUUUUGGACGAUUUUCCCUAAAAUAUAAUUAUACACCAAAUAAUGUAAAAAAUAUAAUAACCAACGUGCUAGGUUUCAACAGCCCCUAACACAACAGUACGGAAAUCCAAUGGGCUGAACCAGACCUUAGCCGAGUGACAAAAAAGCAAUGAAUGGAGGAAGGUGCUUUUCUCUAUCCAGUAUCCUCAGCUGACUCAAAUAUCAAGUUAACAUCGGAAAGAUCAAAAUCAAAACAAACAAGAAGUGAUAACCACCAGGAAGGGAUUUAAGUCCCUCCUUGGGUAACCCUCACCAGCAGCGAAAAAAAUCUAAGGGUUGUGUUAUAACACUCUCUUGGUCUAGUUGGGUCUGCUUGGGUCUGCAUUUGUUGCUCACAAAAAAAAAAGAAGCUAUUUUUUUCCCCCCCAGAUUCGGGUUGAGAUAUAAUUUCAUUGCCCAGAUCCAGAUUAUGCUCGUUUAUUCUAAUAAAGAAGUGAGUCGAAUACGGAAUAUAGGAUUUCAAUCUGUAUCUGAUCUGGCUCCAUUAAAUAAAUUAAUAAUUAUAAAAUAUAAAUACUUCUUAAUACAAUAAUACUUCUUUUUCCAAAUUACCAAACCCUAAUAUUCCAUAUAAAAUGCAUUAUUUUGUCAAGUUUUAUUUCUGCCAGAUAGACCCGAGACCCCACCCGGGAUCAGUCGGAUCCGGUUCCAAGAUUAUAAGUAUAUGACUUGUUGAGUAGACGGUUCGAAUCCAAAACGGGUAAAUUAUAACGGGUUCAAAUUCGGAAUGUUCAAUUUCGAUCCGGACCUAACCCGCCUACUUAUAACUCACAUUUUGGCGCUCGAUUGUAUUGAUCGCUCAUCUCUUAACUUUUCAGUUUUCUUUGGUUGCAAGUGAGGUGUAUGUUUGAGGAAUAUAAGUUUUUUUUUUCUAUUUAGGCAAUUAUAUUUUCUAUCAAUUGUAUUCAUUAUGGCAUUCGGGGAAAGAUAUAAAACUUGUGAACCUUUAGAAGAAUUUGCAAAUUUCACCUAGGGCCUGUUUGGGACAUGAGGGUUUUACCAAAUUUGUUAGUUACUAGUUUUUUAAUAACUUUAGCUACAAGAACCUAAAAAAAAUUAUCAAAUUUUUUAACCUACACACUUCAAAAUAUCUAAUACACAAAAAAUUUCCUCUUUUCUUCUUCUUUCUCUCCCACCCCGAUCCACCACAUCUUCAUCACUGGCUACCACCUCCGUAGCUGCUUCCGGUGCAGGCCUUCCUUUUUUUUUUUUUUUCCUUUCUCCCUCUCCCCCUCUCCUACCCCCCCUCCCCCCUUUGACCGAUCUGUGACUCCUCUCUUUUCUUUUUUCUUUUUUUUUUCUCUCCCUCCCCCUUUCCUUCCCUCCCCUCUCCCCCUUUCCUCCCCCUCCCCCGCCACCCUCCCCUUUCCCCUAGCUGCAAUUUGGUCGCGCGACCAGAUCGCAGCCAGUCGCGGAACCAGACCGCAUCUGCGAUUUGGUCACACGACCAAAUUGGGGGAGAGGGAGAUGGAGAAGAGGGGGAGAGAAAAAGGAAAAAAAAAAAAACCAUGGCUGCUGGUUCUCUGGCUUCGAGAGGGUGAAGGGGAGUAGAGGGGGAGAGGGGAGCAGAGAGGGAGAGGGACAAGAGGGGAAGAGAAAAAGAAAAAAAUUUUGGACCAUGGCUGCUGGUUCUUCAACGCCGGAGGCAGAGGUGGCGGGGGAGGGAAGGGGGAGGGGGAAGGAAAAAGAAGAAGAAGAGAGGAAAGAAAGAAAAAGAAAGAGAAAGAGAAAAAAAAGGUUUUUAUCUUAAAAAAUUUUUCCAAAAAUUUCUACAGUGCACUACAGUAAAAUUUUAGACAAACUUCCAAAAAACUCAGGUGCCAAAUGGGGCUCUACCACUCUAGUUUGACAAGAUAUACAGGGAGUUCAAACCUCAUCUAGUACAUCACAAGGAAGCAUAAUGCUUCCUUGUUUUUAAAAAAUUCAGAUAGUGCAAUAGUGCACUUAUCUAGUUUGGAAUUUCAUUCCCUAACCCCAUAUACAAGUUCCUUUGGACUCUCUUCCUCCAUAGUGUAGAAUCAAUCCGCUUGCACUUGUCUAGUUUAGAGGAUCACCUCCCAAUCUCCAUACAAAUCCCAUUGGGCUCCUUCUUCCCCAUGGUGUAGGAUUAGUGUAGAUUAGUGUCGAAGCAGUGUAGAAUGUUACUGUUGUCCUAAAAAAAAAAAAAAGAUAUACUGUAAGGUAGAAUUAAAACUGUCGGGCCGAAGUAGAAAGGAGUGCUUAAAAAUCUACUGCAUGUAUUGAUAAACCACUGCUAAAAGGACGCACAUUAGGCCAGUUUGUGAUCUGGCCUAGUGAAUCCAUAAUAUUGGGUCAUCUCUAUGGAUAGCCGACAAUACGUACUCGUUUCUAUGCACAAACUUAUGUGGACUUACGAGGUACGGGCUGUAGUGCAAAAUCAAUACCUUUUUUGGGUUUUCUACCAAAGAAAAAAAAGAAAAAUGCCCGAUAGCUUUUACAUUGCGCCUUAGAUAAUAGAUAGUAGAUGAAAAGUGAAAAUUUCCAGUGGUAAAGAAACAACCCAUGCGCUUAUUAAUUUUGCUCACAAGACAGUAAUUCACAACAGCUAGAAUUUCAUUAGUUGUGUGGUUUUUAUUGACUAUUGGGUCAUCUAAAAUAAUUUUUAAACAUUUUCUCUACAACGUUUCACCAGCUAGCAAUUGUUAGAAAAGGGGAAAAAAAUGGGGGUUCAAGACUGAAAAACAAAAGCUGUAAAGCUCAUCUUGCAACAAUAGUUAUAUUUGUUAAUUUUCUCUCCAAGUAUGUGCUUCUAUAAGGAUAAGACAUGGACUUGCAUAUAAAGAAGGGAUAAUUUUAGAAACCUCGUUUAAGGUUUGUGACAAUAUCACUUAGCUGGACUUGGAAAAAUAUCACCUGCCUCCCUAAUAUUUAAUUUUUUGUAACAUUAUCAGCUUAUUUUAAAAUAUAUUAUUAAAAAACUCAUUAGAAGGUGGAGAAUAUAUUUUCAUUCCAAUAUUACCCUUUUCCAGUAAACCAUUUUAGUUUCAUAAGAAAUCUAAUUAGUCCCUUUACUUUUGAAAACUCUGUUGAUAUAAUUUUUUAAUUAGGAAGUACAUGGGUUAACAAGGUUUAAAGAUCUAUUAAUAAUUUUUGUGUUGUUAGUCCACACAAGAAAAAUAGCGAAAUUUUGAGAUUCUAAAUAAUUUAGAAAAUCCAUAAAGUUAUCUGAGAAUUUUACAAUGAAAAAAAUAACAUUUUGCACUUUAAAAGCACCUCAAAUAAGUUUCUAAAUAUAUAGUUAAGAAUUAUAUUUUUCAAGCCAUUGAUCUAGGUAAACAAUAGGAAAUUCAAAAAACUUUUGCGUAAUUUAUAAAUCUUUAAAUUCAUUCGCAAGCAUCUUUUGAAUUAAAAAAUAAAAAUUGCCAUUGAAAAACCCUCAAAUGAUUUUGUAAUCAUAAAUAUUUCAUUGUUUUCUAGUUUUCAAGUCAUCAAUCUAAACAAGAAAUUUAGAAAAUUUUAAAAAUUGUCAAAAUUUGAAAAAAUUCCUCAAAUAGAUUGAAAACACUUCACAAUAAAGGAAUAGUCUUUUUGGCUUGAAAACACAUUGAAUAUAUUUCUAAAACAAAUUUUUUAAUGUCAAAAUACCUAUUGUUAUAUUGUGUUUAUAAAAAUUACACAUUUAUACAAUUUGUCCUUAUUUUCAACUUUUUAUUACAUAUAUUCAAUUUUGAAAAAAAAUUAGGACAAUAAAGGGCAUUUUUGGAAUGAAAACAUCUACUCUAUUCAAUAAUGAGUUUUUAAAUAAUAUAUUUUGAAAUUGGUUGACAAUGUUACAAAAAGUUAAAAGUAGGGCGGCAAGUGAUUUUUGCUAAGUAAAAUUGUCACAAACCUCAAGGGUGAUUUCUGAAAUUAUCCCCAUAAAGAAUUCUAGUACACUCAAUUGGUCAAUUGUAUUUUGGUUAAUUAUCUCUUGGGUUUUUCAAGUUUGAUCUUUUAACUCAAUUAGGACGGGCCUGCCUCUUGUUAAAUCACAGACCACAACAACAUAUCUUCCCCGGCAAUGUCCAGUAGCUUCCCAAUUUCAGCAAAUUUGACACAGAAACUAUGGUCCGGCUAAAGCACCGACUCCUUCCAGAAAAGUUAUUCAGACAUGUUACAACACAAUUUGUUUUAAUCAGCUUUCAUGGUAGAAAUACCCAAGUGCAACUAUUUUAAUUUGUUAAUGACUGUAUCCAUUUACAAAACUAUGGAACAACUGACCAAUUCCUAGAACACAAGUCUUAUAUAUAUAUAUAUAUAUAUAUAUAAGUUUUGAUAAGUUCGAUUUCAAUCAUCACUACGAGUCAUGGCAUAUCUCGAGAACCAUAGAUCACUUACAAAUUGCCUACUAACAUAACCUUCAUAUCGACAACAUGAUUGGAACAUACGAUUUUUUGUGAGGAAGUGAUUUGUCCUUAUCAAUUGAAUCAAUUUGUGUUGUUACAAGAGUCAUGGUUACCAGUAAUCCAUAUAAACUUAUUGCACUGGAAAUUUGGAUUGUUCAAACAAACUAUCAAAAACUUUAAGUUUGGAUAAUUAGCUUCGAAAUUUUCUUCCAUUUCUUGGAUUAACCCACCAUCCAAUUGCAGAACAGAAGAAUCUCAAAACACUAAUCAUAUCCUUCGACAAAAACCUUGUGCGGUGAAUUAUAGGCAAAAUUUUUGGUUAUUUGAUCAGCUUCAUCUAUGUGACAGUGAUUGGAAACAGACAUCCACUUCAAAUAACACCAAUCGUACAGGACAAAGACGGCCAAUUGAAUUAAAGCCAGUAUCUAAAUUCCACAUAGGGCCUGCGAUGUUACCUAAUUAAGUUGACAAAAAUAAAGUGAACCAUCAUAAACAAACAAAGGAAAAGACGAUUAAAACACGUCUGCUCAGAACUGAUUGAGCUGAAGAAACCUUUUUUCUACAUAACAUAGCCAUUCCAGGUUGCUUGCCAAGGCACUAUGGCAGAAGAAGUGAAGCUUUUCAGGACAUGGUCCAGCCCAUAUGCUUUGAGGAUUGUCUGGGCACUGAAGCUUAAAGGGAUAGAGUAUGAGACCAUCUUUGAGGAUCUUACCAACAAGAGCCCUUCACUUCUCCAGUAUAAUCCUAUUCAUGGAAAGGUGCCCGUGCUCGUGCACGAUGGUAAACCAGUCUGUGAAUCUCUUGUGAUUCUUGAGUACGUUGACGAGACAUGGAAGCAUAAUCCUCUCCUACCUCAAGAUCCUUAUGAGAAAUCCAUGGCACGAUUCUGGGCGAAUUUUGGAGAUGAUAAGGUAUGAAAACGUUUGCUAGCUCAAAUGGUUUAAAUCAUUUGCCCUGCAAUACAAUAUAACACUAAGCAUUUCAGCAUGUUUGUUCCAGCUUUUGGUCAUUUGAAAAUAUUAUGUGAUGCUAAACCUUAAUUUCCAAGUGUAGCUCAUGAAAUCAAUAUGGCAACUUUUCAUUGCACAUGAGAAAGAUCAAGAUGUAGCAGCAGUUGCAGCACUGGAGAAUCUAAAACUUGUUGAAGAGCAACUAAAAGGAAAGAAAUUCUUUCACGGAGAGACAAUUGGGUACCUUGAUCUCGCAUUUGGUUGGAUCGCUAACAUAGUUAGCAUUCUAGAAGAAAUAAUGAGUCUAAAGUUGGUAGAUGGAGAGAGAUUCCCUCACUUGUCAUCCUGGAUCCAACAUUUCAUGGAUGCUCCAGUAAUCAGAGACUGCUGGCCACCUCGAGACAAAAUGAUCAUCAAGUUCCAAGUUAUGCGCGAGAAUUAUCUUGCACCAGCAACACCCAAGUGAAGCCGAAUCUAGCAAGACUUCCCAUAAUAAACACCAUCCAGCAUGGUGCCUUCACUCUUGUCAAACAAAAUGGAUUUUACAUGACAUUAGAAGUGCAACUUAAUUGCUGAAGCAGCACACUUCCUUGCAUUGUAAGAUAUUUAUAGUCACCGGCUACCUUAAGAACAAGGAAUCCACAACAAAAGUAGUACAUCUAUUUCAAGCAUCUACAGUUUGUAACUUCUCCUUGGAAUGUUUUAUAGCAUAAAAAAUGUUUCUGCAAUGCAACACAAGUGAAAGAAGAAAAGUUAUUUGAACAAGAUUGUCCCCAAAAUUAUAAAUUUUAGAAAAGUUCUUUUUAUUAGUAGCAGGAGGUUAAAACUCAUCAACACCAUCAUAAUGCAUUAUAAGCUUUAAGCAAAACAAAUUUGACACAUCUUGUGAUAAUCAAAGGACAUGAAUAAACGCAUCUUACUUCUUUUUUUUUGAAUUUUCGCAACUUCUUUUAAAAUUAUACAUCAUCUUACAUGUUCUGAAUCGCCUAUUAAAUCUUGUUAUUUCUGGAAUUGGUUAAGCGAAAUCCCAGCUAACCACUUUGUCAGUCACUUUAAUAAAGCAGGGGAUUUAAUUGAACAUAAGGAAAGAAGAAAAGUGCGGUAACACUUCCAAUAAGGACACCAUAUCAAUUUCCAAAAGACAAAAGUAAAAAGACUAUAAUUCAGAGUACAGAAUAAUUGCAUUGGAACGCCCUCAGUUAACCUUUUCUGAAAUGGCAUUAACCAAACAUGCAUCAAGAUAGUAUGAACUUAGACAAAAGCAAAUAAUCAUCUGCAACAGCAAAGCAAUGCAUCUGAGCUUCUCCAUUUUCCCUUCAUACAAAUUAGAAAACAAAAGCCUAGUGCUUAUCUUGUUUGUACACAGCAUUUGAAUUGCAAAAAAUACUGCUGUCCAUUCUACAUUUGCCUGCCCCUAGUAUCAUGCCAGGCUGCAAUCAUGUUGUGGAUUAUUUUCAAUUUUAGCCAGAGGAAAAACAAACAAAAUACAUGUCCUUUUGCCAUACUAGUUGUGGGAUAUUAUGCCAGUUAUUUCCACCACCCUGACUGGCACUGCAAUGGGUGCAUCCACCUAUAAUGAGAAGCUCUAAAAAGUAGACAGUUAGGGCUUUUAACAGGAUCUUUUAUUUAGCUAUGGAGUACCAUUAUUUUGUAGUCUUUCUUCGUGGAGAAGUCAAGAAUUGAACUCAUGAUCUCCAGAACAUGGAGCAUGCAUUGAAUCCCUGGGCUAUCGAUCCCUUUUCCACCAGGACAGACUUUGCCGCCACUAAUAACAGCAACAGGGGCUAAAAUUAGUCAUUGGCACUUUCUGAGAAGGGGUACAAAAGUUAUCCACCACCAUGUUUUAGUACCUACAGUUUCAAGUAAAGAAAUAAUUAAUUACUUAACAAAAUGCAUAUUCAAACUGGAUGUGACAUGUUACAAAAACCAAAUUAUGCGGCAGUUCCAAGAAUGCAUAUUCAAACUGGAUAUGACAUGUUACAAAAAUCAAAUUAUGCAGCUGUAAGGUAAGAAAUAUACAGAGAAGAUUAGAAUGUAACUUCUCUUAUUGCUGUUAAAAGUUACUUUAAAACUCAUACUCUGUCACAAAGUAGCUCAAUUUCCUCCCCUCCUAUAACCAUGGGUGCAUAAAGCAAAACCUCUCUCAGCUAACAAACAGAAAUGAAUAUCGUAAUCUCUUUCAACCAAGAGAUUAGGACCAUCAAACUUGAAAACCAUACGAGGGAGACUGACUAAAGAUGCUAAGCUACCAGGCUGAAAUAAAAAAUAUGGGAAUAUGAGCUUAUAGACUCUGUAACAGUUUAGCCAUCAAUACUUUCCAUUAAAAAGAUAAAACUAUUAGUAACUUCAAAACUCUCUCAAUAUAGGUAGACUUUCAGGUGCCAAGCUCCAAUGCUGUAACACCACUUCCAACGUAAGUGCCAUUUUGACAGAAAAACACCUACCUGCUAUCAUAAGCAUCACAAAUAGUGCACUAGUUCAAUCUACCGGUCAUAAAAAUGUAAAUUUCUUUGGGCAAGGACCUUGUCCAUUACUAGUAGCACCUCCAAUUCUUAACAUACUGUGCAGUAAAUUCUAACCUUACAGAUUUGGAAGAUUGCAGGCUCUUUUCUCUAGUUCCAACUUCCUUGGUGCCAAUGGGCACACACAUGCUCCAACAUCAAUCAAGUAUAGAACCCAGUUCAUUGAAUGUUAAGUCCUGGAAAUUUUGCAGUUUCUCACAUGCGAAUGCUGAGGAUUUACUACAAUUAUUAUGUACAACAAAUGUGCUGUGAAUAAAAAUAGGAAAAGGAUAAGCUAAUUUAAUCUUUUUUUUCACAGAGAGCUGUAGCAAACAGACGUAAUUCUAAUAUUGCCCUUCAUCAGAAUUUACGUAUAACAAAACUAUCACCAAUGAUCUCCACAGCUACAAGUUCCAUCCUUGAAUAAAUGAAGCCUAUUUGCAUCUCUGACUAAAAUUACUCGUUGCAAGAUCUUCGAUAUAUAUUUGGUUGCAGUAUGGCAAUCUCCACAAACACGUAGGUUCUUCAUUAUUUGCAAAGGGGAACCUGGUUCUGUAUUCAACACACCAAAUGCAAUGGCAAGCCUUUCACUAUGCCCACAAAGCAUUUCAACCUUUUCAUCAUCUUCAACAUCAUGCAAGGCAAAUCUUAGAUCAGCCACAUAACCUUCCUUGGCCAUUAGAUCUGAAAGGACAACAAGGAAAUCAUGCACCUCUUUGUACUGUUCAAAGAACCUGUGUCCGGUGCCAAAAAUAUAAACCCUAUUUUGAAUCUCCAACCAACUAAAUCCAGGUUGCUUUUUCAGACCUCUUGCUCUCAAGGAUUUUCUUAUCAUUUUCACUUUAUCCCACUUCCCUAAGGCAGCUUAAACAUUUGAUGCUAAAACAUGAUAUCCUGGAUCAUCUGAAUUUAAUUCAAGUAGACGUUUUGACACACGUUCAGCAAUCUUAAUAUCUCCACUGGAUCGGCAAGCACUAAACAGAGCUCCCCAUAUACUUGCAUCUGGUUUUUGUGGCAUCAAAAGGAUGAAAUCCUCUGCUUCAGCUAACAGGGCAGAUCGAGAUAGAAGAUCAACCAUGCAUGCAUAAUGUUCUUUCCUUGGCUCAAUACUAUAGUCAUUCUUCAUUUGGUAAAAGCAAUCCCAUCCUUCUUGCACCAAACCAGAAUGGCAACAUGCAAACAAUAUGGCAACAAACACAACAUGAUCAGGAGCAAUACCAACUUUCUUCAUCCUCUGAAAAACUUUUAGAGCUUCCAUUCCUUCACCGUACAUUCCAUAUGCAGAGAUCAGUGCAGUCCAUGAUAUGACAUCCUUUGUUUUCAUGAGCUUAAAAACUCUCAUGGAGUACCACAAAAUUCCACUUUUGGAGUACAUUUCAAUCACUGCAUUGCCAAUUGAAACAUCUGACUCAAAACCAAGCCUGAAAAUGCAGCCAUGCAACUCUUUAGCUUGACAUUUGGCACCUAGAAAGGAACACAACGAUAAGGUGCUCAACAGGGUAGGUACCUCAAAAGUAAUUCCUUCAUUCCGCAUUCUGCUGAUCAUUCUUAAACCUAAACUACAGUCUUCGCAAUGACCACAAGCAGCUAUAAUAGUAUUCCAUGUCACUACAUCCCGAGCUUCCAUGUUCUCAAUUGUUUCAAAGAAUUGUCCAGUUCUCCAACUUUGGCAUACAUAUCUAUGAGUGAGUUACCCACAGUUAUGAUGGAAUCAAAUCCUUGCUUUAAGAGAGUGCAAUGUAGCUGUGUCGCAAAAUAUCUGUUAGUAGAUUGUAUACACAGAGUUAAAAGAAUCACAUACGUGAUGGAAUCAGGCUCCAAUUCCAUCUUCAUCAUGUUGAAAAGCUCUAUUGCUUCCUCAUAAAAUUCAUUUUCAGCAUAACCACUAAUCAUAGAGUUCCAAGACACUAAAUCUCUGCUUUUCAUACUGUCAAAAACUUCCCUUGAAGCCAAUAAUUCACCGCACUUUGUAUACAUGUUUAUUAGGAGAUUGUUAGCUGUUAUGUCACCCGUGUAUCUAUUUUUCACCAUGUAGUCAUGCACUGAUCUUCCCGACUUCAAGUCCCUGACAUGACCACAAGCUUGCAAAACAGAUGAAAGUGUUAUUGUAUCAGGUUCAAAAUCAUGCACCAUUUGAAAAAACAACCUGAUUGAUUCUUCAUACAAGGAAGAAUGAAAGAACCCACAGAUCAUAGUAUUCCAAGUGACUGUAUCUCUAACAUCCAUCUUAUUAAAAACUUUUUCACAAUCGACUAACUUAUCGAAUUUGAAUUACAUAGAAAGCAAACCAUUACUCACAAUGACGUCUCUCAUAACACCAAUCUUCUCCACUAAACCAUGAAUUAGUUGACCCUCCACAACCUCCAUUAAGCCACCACAUGCUGGUAAAACACUCGACACAGUAAAGCAAUCCGGUAGCAAACCAACCAUUCUCAACUUAUAAAAGAAUUCCAAUGCUUCAUCUCAAUACCCAUUUGAACUAUACCCAGAAAUCAAACUAUUCCAGGUAAUCAAAUCUCUUUUAGACAUUCCAUCAAACACAUUCCUUGCUCUAUCCAAGUUAUUCAGCCGCGAAUACAUAUCUAUCAAAGCAUUGCAUAUAUACAAAUCUGAACCAAAACCCACCUCUAAAACAUGAUCGUGAACAAGUUUUGCCGUCUCAAAAUCCAACAAAUUCGCACACGAAUUAAUAACCGAAGGAAGGGUAUAAUUAUCAGGCACAAUCCUUAAUUCCCGCAUCUGGGUGUAAAAAUCUAGUGCUGUAGAGUAUAAUCCAUUAUGGGUCAUGGCUCUAAUGAUUGUAUUCCACAAAUAAACAUUCUUUUUAUGCGAACUUUGUCCAAAAAUCGACAAUGAAGCAAGUGGGUCUUUAAAUUGGGAGUACUUGGAAAUGAGUUUUCCUGAGAACAGUACAGAAUUGUGCAGGCCCAAUGUAAUUAUCAAAGAAUGGAUUCUGCGGAGGUUUCUUUGGUUUGUAACGGAGGACAAUGCAUUUGAUAGUGAAGUGUAAAAGAAGUCUCGGCUUCCUGCGCUUAAGCUACACAACUUCCUGGUGUUCAUUUGGCAUUGCAGCAGCAACACCGCAGCAACAACAUCAAGUGACCUGGAAGCCACCGAAGAAGGGACUCAUUAAGAUAAAUAAAGAAGCAGCCAUAUCAGCACAGAUGAUAAGGACAGGGAAAGGGAAUCGUAGCUAGGCGCUGGACUGAGAACAUAAUGAAAGCAAAAGGGAUUAUGGAACCCAAGAGAGGGGGAAAGCAAUCGAGGAAGAAGCUCUAGCAGUAAGGACUGCAUUAAUGAUGACCAAAGGAUACAGGAUGGACUAGGAUGGACUAGGAUGACCAAAGAAGCAAAUGUAGGACUUUUUAGGGAUAAUUUCAGAAACCUCCCCUGAGGUUUCUGACACUUUCACUGACAUCCCCUGAGGUUUUCAAAAUUUCACUUACCUCCCUUGAUAAAAAAUUGCGCCCCUUUUCUGACGUCAUCAGGGCCAAAAUUACAGAUAUAUCCCAAGUAGUUGGGGUUAAUUACUACCGUUUAUGUUUAAGUUACAUAAUGAAUUUUCUUAUUCUUUACGUACCUAUUCUUGUCAUGCAAGAUUACACGCCUGACUUCAAAUUACGUACUUUGCAAGAAAAUGUCUGUGGAGUCAUUUGUUACAAGACAAGAAGUUCAAUCAAAUAAGAACAAUUUAUGUACACAGGUGGGAUUGGGAAUUCAAGCUUGUCCUUUUUGGUAUUUAGGAUAAUGUUUUUAUAUGAACUCAAGGAAGAUGGAUAGCCUAUUUUGCAAGGUUAUUAGGCAAUUUACCUUUGUGGAAUUCUUGAUAUCAAGCCAUUUGAUUGCUAAUGUGGACAGGUGGCUUAAGCGCGUAAUAAGUGCCAUGGAUUCGAAGUUCGGCUGAAAUAUCACAUAUCGAACGAAGUCUUUAUUAGAAACCUAAUUAGAAACCUAUUAGAGUUCAGUGAGCUCUCGUACUAAGCUCCACCGCCAACCCUCCAUUUCGAAAAAAAAAAGACAAAAGCAAACACACGAAGCGCAGAAUAACGUUGAAACCCGCAAGCGGGAUUAUGUGUUUUUUCUAUUUCAAGGUUAGCUCGCAUGCGGGUUAAUGUUAUAUUUGAGCGCGAGAAGAAAAAAUUGGUAAUUAGGCUCUUUGGGCAUUAUAAGUAAAUAUUUAAAUUAAUGGCAGUUUUAUUACACCAAUAUUAUUGUAUUAUCAUUAUUAUGAUUAUUGUAUUAUUUCUUAUGCAAAUAUAACAUUUAAUUAUCCAAGCAGUUUGAUUUUAUUUUUACAAUUUAUAAAAUUUUUAUCACUUAUAUAAUAUUUUUAAAACCCUAAUACAUCUAAAUUUGAUUUUAUUUUUCAAAUUUAUAAGAUUUUUAUUUAAAAAAAUGGGAUACGGAUAAGAUAUCCGGUUGGUUCGAUUUGCAUAGGUGCAUAUGAGAAUAUCCGAAUACUCCUGAAACCCGCAAGCGGGAUUCUGUGUUUUUUCUAUUUCAAGGUUAGCUCGCAUGCGGGUUAAUGUUAUAUUUGAGCGCGAGAAGAAAAAAUUGGUAAUUAGGCUCUUUGGGCAUUAUAAGUAAAUAUUUAAAUUAAUGGCAGUUUUAUUACACCAAUAUUAUUGUAUUAUCAUUAUUAUGAUUAUUGUAUUAUUUCUUAUGCAAAUAUAACAUUUAAUUAUCCAAGCAGUUUGAUUUUAUUUUUACAAUUUAUAAAAUUUUUAUCACUUAUAUAAUAUUUUUAAAACCCUAAUACAUCUAAAUUUGAAUCUAAUUUUCUACAAGUCAUACUUAUAAAUGCGAAAUCUAACAAAAAAGUUAAAUACAAUUUUUGCAGGUCAAAUUUAACAAAUGCGAGCUAUUUGCAAAAUUUUAAAUAUUUGCAACAUUUUUUAAAACAAAAAUUAGAAGCUUUCUGCAAAUAAUUCCCUACCUCUCAAAAAAUACCAAAAUAAAAAAGAUAAGAGCUCGCAUUUGCUUCCUAGAAAUAAUUCCCUAGCUCUUAAAAAAGGAAAAAAAAAAAAUUGAGAAGAGCUCGCAUUCGUGGAAUGCGAGCUCAAUAACCAGAGCUCGCAUUCCACGAAUGCGAGCUCUUGUAAGCUCGCAUUUGUGAAAUUCACAAAUGCGAAGACCCCCCUGACGGAAAUUAAACCCAAAAUCACCCCUUUUGUAGAAUUUUUUUAAAAUUCAUCACAAAGUUGGAAAUUUCUCAAUAGAAAUACAACUUGUCUGGAUUCCUUUCACUCUCUGAUAUCAUUACGGUUGCUUUGCGAUUACAGCGGCAAAACCUGUUUUUAAUGGAGAAAGAUGUAGGUGAAUUCCAUGAUUCUCCCCUAUGGCUUGAAGAGGCCAUGGUUGCAGCUAAAACUUUUUACUCAGAGCUCUAAUUGUAGCACAGCAAAUGCACUUGUUAUCAUUCCAAAUUAGUAGCAAAGAAUGUUAAUAGCUUGAAACCUCAGAGGUAGUUAAGUUGCUUUGCUUUAUAUGCUAUUGCUACUGAAACAGCAAACCUUCUGGCCGUUGCAAUUUGCAGCUAGCCGUUGCAAAAUCUGCCAAAUAACUGUUGCAUGGCACAUCUGGUGCAUGCAAUUUUUUGUAUUGCACUUACCCCCCCCUCAACUUUACUAAUUAGUCCAAAUCAUUUAUUCUUCUUUGAAUCUUCUACUAAUACAACUUCUGCAAAGGGUAGCUAUGGAAUAAAAAUAUCUUCUCACACAUGAAAAUAAUAUUUUAAUCUGAUUUGGACUGGAUUGUUACCACAAAAUCAAAAACAAGGGAGGUAAGUGAAAUUUUGAGAACCUCAGGGGAUGUCAGUGAAAGUGUCAGAAACCUCAGGGGAGGUUUCUGAAAUUAUCCCGACUUUUUAUUACAUUUUACUCACUUCGCGUGGACCAACAGUGGUAUAAUUGUCACACUUGCUUAAUCUGCUGCAAUUAUUCGAAAGACACAGAUUAGAGAUCAUUACAAAAAGGGGUAAGCAUCUGGGUUUGAAGACAUUAGGUCUCAUCACAAUUUCCCAAUUCUAUCUGCAAAGGUGCAUAUGUAAGAUGCAUCAAAGGAGAGAGUAUUUCAAUAGAGCAUCAAGUUCGUGCAGCUACCAACACUCAAAUCAUAAAGAUGAAGAAAGCGAAAAAAUAUCAGGGGUGAAGAGAGAGAAGGUAAAUCAGUACAAUGGAGAUGAGACUGUGUUUCGUGAUUGUGAUGAACCAUGUCGAAUAGCUACUUCGUGGACAUUGUCCAAUCCAGAAAAAGGAUUCCACGGCUGCAAGAAUUAUGGAGUAUUUUUUCUAUUUUGUUAAUUAUUUCAGGGGAAUUAAUUUUUUUAUUUUGGCAGUAUAAUCAGAUAUGGGUAUUUAGUAGUAAUUUCUGCUUUAGAUUAAUUCUGCAAUCUAAUUGGGGUAUUGAUAUUGAUCAUAGUCACCGAAGGCUUACAAGUACUUUUUGUGGUAUGAUCCACCAAUGCUGGAGAUGACAAAAAAUACAAUGGCAAAACUUUUAAAGGAACUAAGGAAAGCUGAACAAGAGAACCAGUUCAUGAAGAUUGAACUUGCAAGGCUAAAAGAAGAGAAGAAGAUUAUGAAAGGUGAAAUUCGAAAGCUAAGAAAUAAGAGCAAGUUGCUAGUUUUUGUUGUUCGUUGUGGUUGCUUGUUAAUUGCUGUGCUUGUUGGCAACGAGAAAAGAGGACAUGGUAAAAAAGACUUGGGGCUUCAAAUGUUAGUUUAGAUGAAUUAGAGAAACCUAUGUAGUUACAUUUAGCCUUUUGUUCAUGAAGUUGCAAGGUGGCUAUGAUUGGCCUUAAUUUUGUCGGAUUGUAAGACUGUGCUCAUUAAAUGCAAGUGGUCACUACUCCUCUUCUCUCUAUAUAUAGUACACUGCCUGUGCAGUUGGGUCAUUCUUCUUCUUCCCCAGUUCCAGUCAUCUGUUUAAGCUAUACGGACCAAUAAAGGAGCUUCUAUCUGAAACCAACCUACCUUUAUACAGGAAAGUUAGUAACAUGGAAUACACUACUGCAUACCAAAAAAAUGUAAGGCACCGGACUUCAACUCUGGUUGUAAUCUGAAACAGAAAGUCUAAUUUGGAUUUGAAAUCUGAAACAGUGAUUCUGUAGCUGCUAAUUUAGAGCCUUGGCAGGAUGAAAACAUAACAUGCUCAGAUGAUAAAACCAGGCCUUCAAAAGGCUUUAAAUCUCAGUCUUGAUCGAAAGAAAGUCUAAUUUGGAUUUGAAAUCUGAAACAAUGAUUCUGUAGCUGAUAAUUAAGAGCCUUGACAGGAUGAAAACAUAACCUGCUCAGAUGAUAAAACCAAGCCUUCAAAAGGCUUUAAAUCUCAGUCUUGAUCGAUGGUUUAGUGAAAAUUUAAAUCUUUAAACACCUCUGUGGCAGUCAAACGCAUGAUGAUGAUAGAACACAGAAGCAUAGACUUCAAGAGCAAUCAACAAAAAAUAUUAGGAAAGCUGUCAUAUAACCAGUGAAUUCCAGUUGUCCACAAGAGAUCAAUGCCAACAGCACAAGUUGAAAGUCAUGUCUAGACAACGAGAUACAUGCCAAGGUAAUAUAGGCAGGCUUUUACAAAACAAUCACAUAGUUCAUUCCCUAUUCUUUCCCCCACAAGAUCAGUACGCUAUAAUUACAAUUGUAAGAUCUAUAUUAGAGAGACUCCAUUCUCUAAACAUAUGCAACAAAAAAUUUGGCAGUCAAGGGUGUUGACAUGCUUUUCUUCAUCCCUCCAGUAUCGUUAUGUCAGCUUCAUCAUCAUCUUCAUCUAACAACCUAAGUGCCUGCAUAAAUCACUUACAUGCGUUGGGGAAUAGACUAGACAAUGAAUUCAUAUUUGGUUAACAAUUAUACAAGCAAACUGACCGUUUGUUUUCUCCUGGUCCCUUUCCCUUUUGAAGGAGGAAAUGGAUCAUAAACUGACAUAGCAGCCCGUCUUCUUAUCCAAGAUCGAGCCUGAAAGGUAUCACAUGUUUGCCUAUUAUGUCCAGUUUUCUUGCAAACUGAACACUUCAUGACCUUUUCAGGCAAAUCAGCAGAAUUUGCUUGGGGAGCCGAAAGCUGAAAGUCUAUCAUCUUAGCAUCUUCCGAACCAGCUUUUGUAAUUCCACCUGGGACUAGGAAAGCUUACAAUUAAUUGAGCAAAAGAACAGCAGAAAUUAAAUUAACUGAAGUCAGAAAAAAUUAGAAAAAUAUAUAAUUGCACAAACCAUUAUUUAAUGAAGAUACAGUAGCAGGUUUUGGAAGGUCUCUUCCACUUUCCUCAUCAUUGAAAGCUUGCUAUACAUCUAUUAAACAAAAAAUAACAAUCAUUCUGUUAGUUUCAUAUUAAUCAUAAAAAAAAAAUAAUUGAGCAAGCAAUCUUAAUUACCAGCAGUGGCAGUUGAGUCAUGGUCUUCAUUCGCAUUACUCUCAUUUGUCUUGCUUAGUUGUGGACAAAUUCUCUUGUUAUGGCUUUUCUCCUUACAAAAGUUGCAUUUAUUGAAGUUAGACGAUGGUGGCCUACUAGAGCAAGAACCGGGGAGCUCAUUCGCUGGAAUGAUCAGUGGGCAUUUUUUAACAGUAUGACAUUCUUCAUGGCAGUUUGAACACUUCAUUUUCACAAGUCCUCUUCUAGGCAAUUUUGUUACACCUACGGAAUUGGGCCUUGGUUCAGCAGGCUCUCUUCUCCGUACUUUUCGUGGCCUACCAGGGAGUUUUAACUUCUUUGGAGGUAGCAUCGGCUCUUUUUUUUACUGGACCCAAGUAUUCGGACCACUCAUUGGAGCUAUGGCUGGUUCAUAUGCUUUCAAAUAAUUGUCUUUUGAGUAAUAUUGAUGAACCAUCGAUUCAAGAGUUGUACCAGUCAAGGAAAUACAACAUAUGCAUGGCAACAAGGCCAGCUAGUCAGGUCCCAUCUUCGGUACGUGCACGUUUGGUUUUUGAGAUCAACCACAUACUUUCUGCCAAACGCAUGUGUCACUUCAAACUGGUCCUCCUUGGACCAUCGUGCAAUGUUUGAAACAGCUUUUAUUUCUGCCUUCUCAAGUUUUUUUUUGAAUUUUGGGACAUAUCUUGUCAUUCCCCUUGUUCAUCCACUCUCUUUUGGUUCUAAGUCUUUCCAUUAGAUAAAUUUUGAGUGUCUCAAGCAUUCCCAAAAUUGGUUUUUCCCUAGCAUCCAUAAUGACUGAAUUAAAGCUCGCAUAAAUUGUUGAGCAGAAUAUCGCACUUUGGUGUGGUCCGAAAGUGGGAUCUUGACCAAUGAUAAGGUGAUGUGUUUUCAAUUAGCCAUUUCCAUGCUUGUUCAUCAUAUUCCUUCAAGCUCUUCAUCCGAUUUUCAAUCAUUGUCAUGUAGGACGACUGAGUACAAGUCCAAAAUCUCUCCUUCAAUGCUUCGCCCGGGUUCAACUUCUUAAAAGUUGUUGUAGAGGUGCCUGACACAGUGUCUAUACUCAAUUUCUGGAAGCACCUCAUGAAUUGCAGUCCCUAAACCCUGUUAUAAAAGCAUUACAUAUUAAAUUAAAUAUUAAAUUUUAGUAAAAAUGAAAAUUAAUUAAUUCAGCAAAAAUUAACCUUUUGUCUAUCACUAAUAAGUGUCCAUUUUCUUGGUCAUAAAUAUCCAAGUCGUACUUCAAAAAUUCGAUGAACCACUUCCAAUACUUCUUGUUUUCAGCCUCUACCACUGCAUAAGCAAUGGGAUACAGGCAAUCAUUCGGAUCAAUCCCAACAAUUGUCAAUAGCACUCCGGGAUGUGGACCUUGUAAAUGGCAGCCAUCCACUGCAAUGACGGGCCUACAUGCAGACUUAAAUCCUUUUUUUAGUGCCCCAAAGCAGACAUAUAGCCUUUGGAAUCUCUCUUUCCCAAUGUUUUCAUCUAACUCUGCUCCAUGUACACAGUAGAACCCGAAUUACAUUUUAGCAGCUCGUCACAAUAAUCUCAAAGCCUUUUAAACUGUUCUUUAUAGCUCCCAUGGAUUAUGAUCUUGGCUUUCAUGAAUGUCUUGUAGACCUGUGCUACAGUGAUGUUAACAUUAAGUUUCGAAUGCACCUUCUCUCUAAAUUUCUCAACAGUCAUUCUCUUAUUCAAUCUUAAAAUGUCUGCAUACUUUCUAACCAGAAAACCUGAAGUAGCUCUCUUGUGGUAGAAUGUCCGGCCACAGGUGUGCUCAUGUCCCAUAGUUUUCAUCACAAGAGAGUCAUCACCGGCCUCAACUUUAGAGGCAAACAGCAUCCAUUGACAAUUUUUUGCCUUGCAUUUAACUCUCAUCCGUGUAGCAUCUUGUUUUACCCAUUGAAUAUCCUUGCCCCACUUGACUGUGUAGUUGUCCACAGCUAACUUGAACAAUUGUUUAUUAUCGAAAACCUAUCCAACAUGAAAUUUAGGAUCUUCCAUAUCAACUUCAGGCCUAAAUCUCACAAGACUCAGGUUCUUAGCCUUUUUCUUCUUUUUAUUGUCUUCAUCCGAGGAGGACUGAUAACUUUUCAACUCAUCUGAGGCAAGUGAAUCAGAUUCCUCAUGGACUGGAAUCUGAUCUCCUUUAUCUAAGUGCAAGUCCUUAAAAUAAUUAUCUUUAGCUUCAUCUUUUUUUUUUCUUAGCUGCGGGCAAUGACAUUUUCUGUUUGUUACACUCCUUGCCCCUGCUUUUUCCUUCACCAUCAGGUUGUAUCUUUCCAAUUCGACCACCUAACUCUUGCUUAGGUGUAACAACGCAACCCUGGAAUAUCACAUCUUCAUCAUCAUGUCUAAAAUCAUAAUCGCUGUCAUGGAAGCUUUCAGCUGUGGAUGAAUCCAAAUGGACAUCAUCAUCAUCAUCAUCAUUUCCUCCAUGUUCAGCAGGCUCUGUUUUUUUAUUUUUUGACUUCACAUGCUCCAUCAUUUGCUUCACACGAACAGGUAUUUCUUCGAAGUCAACUAGAUUAAUAUCAUUAAAGGUUAUAUCCACAUAUAAAUUAUUAUCUUCUAGUUGAAUCUCCUCAACUAUUACUGCACCUAAAUCAGUGUUGCUAUUAACAUCUCUUAUAUGGAAUUCAUAGAUAUCAUACACAUCAACUUUUUCAUAUUUUUUAUCAAUACAAGCCACGUCUAUUACAUCAUCAUCACUAUCUAUUUGCCGAAGUUUCAGCACAUUUUUUUCAUAGGGGAUUCUAUACAUCAUCUUUGAAUCCUCCGGAUAGCCCACAACUGUGCAAAAGUCAUGCAAAAUUGACUUACUAACUCUCUCUGGAAUAACUCUUUCAAAUGUUUCCACGCUACCCCUACGUAUGCUUCUUGUGGAUCUUUAACAUACACACCACCAUAAUGUACUUUCAAAGUAAAAUAGUCCACAUCUUGACCUGUUUUUUUAUUUAAAGAAAUAGAAAUCUGGGUUUAUUUAGAAUUUUCAGAAUUUUGGCUCCAAUUAUGUCUCACUUUUCAUCAACAUGAAAGCAACGGCAUAAUAUAGUUUAAAGGAACAGGGACCACAUCAUAGUUCACAAACAAACAAAUUUGCUUUAACCGAGACCAAAUUUCACCACCACAGACAAAAGCAUACAUAUUCAAUUAAAAAAUUACCAACAUUUCAACAUCACAAAUGUCAAGAAAAUAAAGUAAAAUUUUUAAAGUACCAUACCAAGCUAAAUUCUUUAUCUUUUCCAUGUGGAAUCUAUAAGUACUUUAACAAAAAUUUCAACAUCCCCUAACCUAUUCAUGCCCACCACUGCUAUAUAAUACUGCCAAAUUAAACCCCCCUCCCUCAAGUCCCUCCAUUAUCAAUGCUUUUAUCAUCAUUCCAACACACUAGUGGCAGUCAACUCAAGCCCCUCAUGCAUACGGUUGAUGAGGUUUAGGUUUGAAGUGCAGACUUACUUGAUCUUGUUGAUGACUCCACUUGAUCAUUGCCAUCCUUGUCAGAAUCGCCAUUGUCCAUUGCCUGAGGUCAUGGCGUUCCCUGUUCGAUUCUGGCCUCCAUCGUCCGUUCAUCUCAGCCCUAGUUCUAAUCCCAAUUUUCCCCAAUUUUGUUCUAUUUUCCACGGUUAAUUGCAUUGAAGGGGAAUGUCUUUCGAAUAAUUGCAGCAGAUUAAACAAGUGUGACAAUUAUACCCCUGUUGGUCCACGCGAAGUGAGUAAAAUGUAGCAAAAAAUCCUACAUUGAAAGUAAAAAACUAGUUCAAGGACUAAAUUGGUUAAAAUAUUUCAUUAAGGACGAAAUUGGUUUAAGUGAAAAUGUUUAGGGAUCAAAAUGGCAAAAUUCCCUUUUUCUUUUGUGCAUGGGUCAAGAAAUACAAGUAAUCAUAUACUAGUUCAAAAUGCAAUUAGGCUAGUUAAGGGCAUAGAAUGUUGCUCGUAUGGCUAAUGAACAUAGCAAAUAAAGAAAUGAGGGUAGUUGUCCAUUUCAUAACUAAAUCCUGUAUUAUCAAGUGUUAACAUAUAUAAGGAAAAUUUGCCAAUUUGAUACCCACAUUUUCAAGAAAAACUUUUAUUGUCCUUCGCAUUCAAAUUCAGCCAAAAUAAUCACUCAAAUAUAUUUUUAAAAAAAGUACGCCUAUUUGGUUCUAAAGCUCAUUUUCGCUUAUUUCUCCAAUCAAAAACUGCAUACUUGCUUCAUAAUAAAACCUAUAAAAAAGGAAUGGGACAGGGUUCAAAUAAGUUUUGCACCAUUUUGUUCGAUUGGUGUAAUUCUUACUAUAUUUGAUGUAGUUCCCACUAAACUUGAAUACAAACAAAAUUCACAAUGAAACCUAAAUUGUUUGGAUUUACACUAAAUUUUAUAAAAACUACAAUGAGUGGUUAGAAGUACUAGGGGUGAGCAUCGAAUUAUAAAUCGGUAAUUCGGUAGUUUGAAAUCGAUAAUUUUCUGAAAAUUGUUCUGGAAAUAUUCGACCUAAUUCGCAUUUGAAAUAGAAAUUAUCGAAUUCGAAUUCAAUCCGAAUUCAAUUCGGAAAACGGACAUUUACCGAUUUAACCGAAUUUCAGAAAACAAAUUCUUUGGACCAUUUUUCAUCAGCAAACAACAAUGCUAGGCUAACUGAGCCACAAACAUGAGUUGUAGUCUGAACAAUCUAUAACACACUGAUCCACAAAUUACAAACUGAUGAGUUGUAACGGAUCACAAAUGCACAAAUCACUCCAGAAAUCACAAAUAUCACACUGAUCAUUGAAAUCCAGAAAUCACAAAUCACAAAUCCACAAAUCACAAAUUACACUGAUCCACAAUCAUAAAUCAAUCCAGAAAUCAUAACUCAACAGAAAUAAAAGUCUAAAUUAACUUGUCCAGAAAUCAUAAAAAACAAUCCACAAUCCAGAAAGCCAAUUAUCCAGAAACUGCAACUUGCAAGAAGAGUUGGUUUAACUCUCAAAAUGCAAACUUCAGCAUUUGUGACCUCUCAAAGGUCAAUUAUAGUUGGUUCAACUCCGGUCUUCAACAACUCUGCAAGAACAAACAAAAUUCAUGAUGUAUCAUAAAGGCAAUUAUUAGAAAUAAAGAAAUACUUCAAAUUCUGCAAUAAAAAUUUUGAUAGCUUACCAGAUUCGAAGGUUUCAAGCUCUUCCAGAUUUUCUUCUACAUUUAAUUUUGUCUUGAAGGACCGAAGUCAAUCUUGAGCACAUAUUAAACCUUGCACAAUUCUAGGAGUCAAAAAACUCCUAAAUGUAUCAAGAACACGACCUCCAGUACUAAAAGCAGAUUCGGAGGCCACGGUAGAAAUUGAGACUACUAACACAUCACGAGCAACUUUGGAAAAGAUUGGGAAUCUAAGGCUAUUGGCCUUCCACCAUAACAAGAUAUCAAAUCUCUCAUCAUCUUCCUCACAAUUUUCAUUCAAAUAUUUCUCUAAUUCAGAUUUUGCAUCCCUAUCCCCAAGUUCCAAUUUUCUCUUCUUAAACUCCAACUUGUACCUAUCAGUGAUUGUUUUAGAGGCAUCCGCAUGUCCACGAAAUGUAGUUUUACUCCAUUGAGAAUCACUUGAAAGUGAAGAAGCAUGAGACGCAGAAUGUGAGAUAGGUGUGUUGAGCAUCUUGUAUUCAUUAAACAGCUCAAACAUUGCAUCUUUUGCAAGGCCAGCUAUUGUUGUACUAUUGGACUCACCAUACAUUUGGCAAACCACAAAUUCAAGAUAUUCAAGUUUAGCUCGAGAAUCAAGAAUGGAGGAAAUAAAAAUCAGCAUAUUCAUCUUUUCAAUCUUUUCCCAAUACUUAUCAUAUUUCUCCCUUAUUGAUCUUGCCAUUAAACUCAAUUCAUCAUUAUCACUUGCUGUUAUUUUAUUUAAAAUGCCAUGAAUGUGACUAAUAUCAGUGAAAAAAUUAUUUUAAGUCACAUAUUUGGAACCGGAAACCUUCACAGUUAGCUGAUAAAAGUUUUCAAAAAAAUUACCAAGAAUCUAGCUUUUGUCCAAUCAGAUUUUGUUGGUAGAUUUUCUAACUCUUAAAGCAUAUAAGGAUCCUGCUCCUCAAACCUCUCAAAAGCCCACUCAAACCUUUGAGCUUUGUCUAGCAUUAGAUAUGUAGAAUUCCACCUAGUAGAGACAUCUAAACUGAGCAAUCUUUUGCAUUCAAUUUUUUCAAUUUCAACACACUGCUUGAAUUUUUUCAAUCUAGAAGGUGACUGUCUAACAUAUCUAACUGCUGCCCUGAUACAAUCAUCUGAAUCCCUAAGUUUUUUGAUGUCAUCAUUAACAAUUAGAUUCACUAUGUGAGCUACACAUCUCACAUGAGUCCAUUUCCCCCCUAGCACAGCUUUUCCCCAAUUUUGAAGUUUUUCUUGUAAAUACUGGACAGUUACAUCGUUGGAACUUGCAUUGUCAACUGUAACAGUUAGGAUAUCAUCAACUCUCCAUUCUAGUAGACACUUUUCUAUGGCCUUACCAACUUCAGUUCCCUUGUGACUAGCAAUAGGACAGAAAUUUAGGAUCUUUUUGUUCAGUUUCCAAUCAUUAUCUAUGAAAUGGGCAGUAAGGCACAUAUAGUUUAUCCUUUGAAUGGAUGUCCAGGAAUCUGUGGUUAGACAAAUUCUGCCACUGUUAUUCUUCAAGAGUGUUCCAACUUAAUUUUUUCAUGGGCAAAUUAUCCAAUUGGCCCUUGAACUCUUUGUCUAGGUAAAAAUAAGCCCCUCAUCUAUUUUUUGUCGACUUUAAGCUCUCGAACUUGUAAAAUUGGGCACCCGUGACCCUUUUAGCCAGUUUCUCCGAUUUUGCAACCGGAAGGCCAAUUCACAAGAAUACCAAUGUGUUUCUUCAAAGGGCAUUUUUGUCCGCAUCUUCUAAGCAAAAAGAGAAUAACUCCUCCUUCUUCCCUCCAUCUAACCUAACCCAACUGCUAACUUAUUCAACAAACGAAUUGCAUAAGGAAGAGAGAGAAGUCUGCAAAGAAACAAAAAAGGGAAGAAGGUAAGGAACAUAGCAGAAUAUCUGCAAAUAUCUAUCAUACAUCAAAAUGCAAAUUAUCCCGGUAAAAUGCAUAAAAUGGUAUGAAUGUUGGUGCAACCAAAAAGCAUCAAUAUUCCUUUGGAGGUUGGAGGACGAGACCAGGAUCACACAUGGUGGCUAACAAGAGAAGGUUGUUUUCCCUUGAUGCGGUUACUGCAAUAGUCUCGGUCAUGUCUAAGUCGUUGUAGUUGAGGCCAAUGGCCAGUCAAAGCAGUAGAGCAGAAGAGCUAAAGGGAGCUCAACAUUCGCUAAACCAAAAGAAAUUCCAAGACAAAUCCUCCUUCUUGCUCCAAAUAGGAGAUACUCAAAGUUGUUUCCAGUGAAAUCAACAGGAUGGUUCUCGAAUCUCUCAGGUUUAAAACUCUCCGCAUCAUCCCAAUACUUGGGGUCCCUUCCAAUUGCCCAAGCAUUGACCAUAACUCGUGUUUUAAUUGGGAUGACAUAUCCAUCAAUUUCACAUUCCUCCCUGCAUUCUCUGGGAACCAAUAAAGGAAUAGGCGGAUGUAACCUGAGAGUUUCUUUUAUCACUAAUUUUAGGUAUGGCAAUUUCUCAACAUCAGUUUCUUCAAUUGUUUUGAUUCCCAUGAAAGCUUUCCUAAUUUCAUUCUGUGCCUUGGCCAUCACAUUUGGAUUCCUAAUCACCUCAGACAUUGCCCAUUCCACCGUUGUGGAUGAAGUUUCAGUCCCACCUGUGAAUAUAUCUUGCAUCAAUAUCAAAACCUUCUUUUUAGGGAAUGCCAUCAAUUGAUCAAUUCUUUAUCACAGUAUAGGAGUUAAACUUUGACUAUUGACAUCUGCCUUGACCAAAGAAUCAGAAAUUGAAAAGAAAAAGUAAGGCGUGAAGCAAAAGCUCAUUACAAUAGCAUUUUACCAUCAGAACAGCUUUGAUAUUAUUGUUGGUAACUGGAAAGGUAAGGUCUCCACUUUCUUUAACUCUUAAUAGAACAUCAACUAGAUCUUCAUUUCCAGACUCGCCUGUGAGGACCCAUAAUUUUAUUAUUUCAAAAUAUUGUUAAAUUGGUCAUUUUAAAAAUAUUUCGUACUCGAGUUACCCAAAAAAAAAAAAUUAAUAAAAUAAAAAUAAAAUAAAAUAUACUAAAGUACAUGAAUUUCUCGAAAAUAAAUUUUUCCGCUCGGUUCUUUACGCGCAUAUUAUUUUAAUGCCCAAAUUUAUUCAAGAUGAAUUGCUUAUCGUGAUUUUUAUUGUUAUAUAUAUAUACUUGGAUUAUCAUAUUUUAGAGUUUUAGAAUCGAAUAAGUUGAAUUUCCAAGUUCAAACAAGAAAACCCUUAAGUUUGACCUUUAUACGCGCGCGUGCCGAAAAGACCCCGACAGGCACAUUAAUUUGAUUAAUUGGAGAUUUUAAGAACAUGAUAUUAGACUACUAGUAAUAUACUAUUAAUGUACUAGGGAAAUUACCUCAGAGGUUUAGUGCACAAAAGUUGCAAACGAGCGCGAAAAUUGGACACGCAAAGACCCUAAACGGACCUAGCAUGAGUUGACACUUAGACUUAACCAUUAAGUCACCAAUUCUCUCCACUUUCAUUACAAUACCUGAUUUCACUCUCUCUCCUCUCGUCACUCUCUAGUUGGCCGAAGAUGGGAAGAAAAAAAAAUCUAGCCAAAAUCCUCACAAACUUGCUUCAAUCCACUUCCAAAUUUCAUCAUCCAUUAGAGGGCUUUGAUCCUAGCAUGGAAGAGGGGGCUGUUCAUCGGUUUUCUUGGAGGAAUUUCAGUCAAGAUUUCUGCCCUAAAGCUGUCCAACUAAGUUCUUGAGGUAACUCACCCACCCACACUUCAAUCUUGCAAAAUUAUAGCUCAAAUGGAGCAAAGGUAGCAUGGGUUUGCAACCUAUGGCAGAAUUUUGGUUGAUUAAUUAUUUGAUUGCAAUUUCAUGACAUGUUGGACGGCUUGAGGAUGCUUAUUGGUGGCUGAUUUGAUGAAUUAACAUGUUUUGGUUGCUGAUAUUGUGCUAUGUUACAUGUAUAUAGAAUGAUUGAUGGAAUGAAGUUGGAAGAAAGUUAGAAAUUUGGAGAAGGUACUGUCUGAAAUUUCUGACUUGCUGCCGACUUUCUUGUUUGCUGCUGCCCUGUAAUUUCGAAAAUUUUCUGGUGCAAAUUGAGCUUCCAAAUUGGUGUAGAUAUGUUGUGCAAUGUGUAUUGUGGUUGUCUACCAAAAAUCAACCGAAAUGGUUGGUUAAAUUUUGAGUUACAAGUAAAGAAGCAAAACUGGAACAAGCUCCAGAAUUUUCUGACCAGCAACAUUUGUGUAGCUAUAACGUUUUGCUCGUUGAUCAAAAUGGAGUGCCAUUUGUGGCAUUUGAAAGUAGACUCUUAGAGCUUUAAAAUGGUACCAAGCUCAUUUUCUAGUUCGUCCCGAGCGAUUCGUGGCGAGUUUUGAAAGUUGGCUGCCUGUUUAUUACUGUUCAUCCGAGACUGUCCAGAAAAUUCAUUUUGUUGCUUGAUUUUGAACCGCUUAUGUCUGGAUUUUGGAAAUGAUUUCUUCUACACAAAUAUAGCCUUGUAAACCUAGUUUCUAAAGCCACCAGCCAUUUUCAAUUUCACUGAGAAUCGAGUGAGAUACGGCCUAAUUAGCGAAGUGCUUUAAAUCUGGAAAAUUUCUGGAAAGGCCAACAGUCCAGGAAUUUUAGCAAACUUCAACUUUUUAUUUCUUGAGCUAGGAACAUCGGAAUCGAGUUCCGUUUUUUUUAUUUGAAACCUGGAUUGGAAAUUUACAUGCAUGUCAAAUUUCAAAGGCUGGUUUUGAUUCUAUGAUUUUGGUAAAAAUUCCAAAGUUAUUGGAAAAACUUGGACUGUUUUGACCUAUCUUCAAUGCAUAGUAAACUUUCUUGGAGAAAUUGACUUGUUUCUGAGUUGAUUAUUGGAAAGUGACCCUCUGUAAAGUUGUUAUGCUUCGAAUGAAGUUUUUGACGGUGUAAAAUUUUCCAUUUUUAGACUUUCCGAACUUCCGGACUGAUUUUUCUAAGAAUGACUCGAAAAGUGAAAAUUUCCAAUUUGAACCUAAAUGUUCUUUUAAGGGCCUAGGUUACAUUUUUACAACUCUUAGAGCAUUUCAAACCUAUUUUCAUGGUGAACUUGAGUUCACCUAUCACUUGAGACCUCAUUUGAAAGUCGGUUCCUUAUGAACUGAAAUACUUUGGAAACUGGAAUAUUGGAGUCAAAAUUGACUGUUUCUUUUCCUUACACGAAUACUGUAUGGCCUGGAAUUUGAUAUACAAUGCAUUAUUGCAUACCUUCAGGAUCUCAAGAGGACUUCGAGGGAACUCCCGGCGAAGCGUCUUAGAGCUAAUUUCUCAAACUUUGAUUUUUGAUACUUGGUGAGUAUCAAGUGCAUGUGAAGUGUAUAAAUGAAAUGAUUCUUGUACUUGCUAGUUAAGGAGGCUAGGGCGUACUUUAUCGCCCUUGUCCUCUCUUUCAUGAAAUUGCUUGCUUGAUAAGUGAUACGUGUUACAUGUGAAUGCAAAUUAAAGUGUUUUUCGUGAGCAUUGAGCGGCAGAAUGUAUCAUGCCCUUUUAGGGUAGGAGGUACCGCUCAUCCCGUCUCAAUGCUAUGACCAAAUCUUGUCGAUUGGAGCUUCGUCUCAUCGACCUAAAAGUGAAUGGGGGGGACGCCCCAACCCAUUGGCUAGCCUUGUAACUCGAGCCGGCAAGGGCUUGGUCGAGAAACUUGGUGAACCUUGGGAAGUAUUAUAGCUUGAUCCAAAUAAGGGAUCUUGCUAGGUAUACUUGUUAAGUGAUACCACCUACAUGCUUGUUUGGUUACGGAUCCAAGAGGGUGUCAUGGUGGCUGGAGGUAGUAAGUGGAGUUCUACAUGGAUAACUGCGAAAGUUGACGGAGGGUCAACUACCUGAGCUUGGAUCGCACGUGGAUUAGCUCCUGAGAGCUCCUGUAUCCUUUUAUUGUGAUUAAAUUCCCUAAUUGCUUAAUGUUUCGCAGUUACUUGUUACUCGAGUUAUUGCUUUAUAUUGUGUCUUUGCUAGCAUGCUUGCAUGUUUUUCCCUUGGCCUCACUGAGCGUUAGCUCACCCCAAUUUAUUUUCCUUAACAGGUUUGGAAGUGGAAGUUCUGAGGCUUAAUUAGUGACCCCCAAAAAUAAUUUUUCCCCAUAGGGCUCGAGGCCAAAGAAAGCGCUUGUAUUAAGUUAUUAGUGCCUGAAGGGAUAUCUCAUAUAUAAUUUGAAUUUGAUUCACUUGAUAAGUAUUUGAUGUAAUUAUUUGAGAACUGAGAACUUUUGUCUUAUUCGGGGAAUGAUACCCUUACUUGAGAUUUGUAAUGUAUCUUAUCUCAUUCUAAGUUUGAAAAAUGUUAUUUUGUUUAUUCUUGAGGUUGUACCCUAUGUUAUUAGAUGUGAGUGAUGUAUUUUAAUUGAGAACUGUAGUGAGUCCCGGCGAGAGCUGGGCAGGCGGUCCGCCAAACCCUUUGGUUCGCCUUAGGGGGAGGUGGGGCUGUCACAUCGCCCAUGCCCCUUUUUGUUCUUUUUAGGUUCUCAACAUGCUCAGCAAUUAUUAUAUCAAAAAUUUUAUCAAUUCUUUGGUGCACCUUCAUUAACUUAGGCUUAACUCUACUUAACGGAUGAAGUAUCUGGUAUGAAGGAAACAGAUCUGAAAUCUCAAAAGCACUUGAAAUAGGCAGUGAUUUCUUUAGAAGUCGCAAGAAAUGUCAUUUGGUGAACUUUGCUUACUUUCCCAAAUGCUGCUGUCAAAACCAUAGAACUUGUGUACGUGGAAAAAUGCACAUUUUUUCCUUCCCUUCACAAAGAUGUUACCUUCUUCCCUUUUUUUGUUUCUUUGCAGACUUCUCUCUCUUCCCUCUGCAAUUCGUUUGUUGAAUAAGUUAGUGGAUGGAUUAGGUUAGAUGAAGGGAAGAAAGAGGAGUUGUUCUCUUUUUGCUUAGAAAAUGCGGACAAAAAUUGUGACGACCCCACCUCCCCCUAAGGCGAACCAGAGGGUUCGGCGGGCCGCCUGCCCGACUCUCGCCGGGACUCAGUCGUUCACUAAAGUCCUCAAAUGAAUUACAAGAAUAAACCUCAAAUAUAUAUCACAUGGUCCACAAAUAUACAUCCAAGUCUCCAAUAAUUACAUGUCACAAAUGCAGCGGAAACAAUUCUCAACUAUACAUAAAAUGAUUUUCAAAUCCAAACUGUACAAGAUAUAGGCCAUCCAGACAUGUGAAUAAGCACAACAAGCCCUCCUUCGCCACGAGCCCUGUGAAGGGGAAUAAAAUAUUUUUGGGGUGAGUUAGAAUCUCAGCGAAUAACCAGUAAAAGUAGUCAUCAAAUAUAUUUCACAGCAAUGCAUUUCAAUGAUGUCAUGAUUCCAAGAUCAAAUGUACGUUUAUUGCUCUCGUGAGCCAGUGAAAUCGUUGCACUUGAACACCCAACGCUCAAAUAGAUCAUUUAACAUUAACAGAAAGGGAGCCCCUUUUUGAGCUCUAGAUACACAUGAACAUGAACCAUAAACAGAGUGGAGACGUUGGUGUCCAGCACAAGACUUUCCCAGAACUCAUUGAAGCCAAAUCAUGUCAUGAAUUCACAUGCAAGCACGCAUGAUAUGCAAUCGAAUAAAUAAUGCAAGAAACAUUUCACAAGUACUUUGGAAAUAGUUUAGGGUCACUCACCUCCAUGGCUCAGAAACCAUCCAUCAUAUAUUAUUGCCUUGCUCAAAUCCAAGUCUUAGAUCACAAACUCAAUGCAAACAAGUUCCUUCAAAGUUCGGACAGCACUUCCCCUGAAUUUACUAACUUUUCCAACCAUCAUGGCUUCAUUAUUUCCUCAUUCCAACCCAAAGGUACACACACAAUAACAAGUUCAUCCGAUAGCCAUUCAGCAAGCUCCAAGUAGUACUAAUACAAGUCAAGCUAGGGAAAAGUUCGGAAAUGAAAGUUAAGCUCAAAACCAGAAAAACAGUUUUGACGUCAUUUUACGGUAAUGGCACCAAAGGCGGUACGAUUGUCGGAUGAAGGUCCAAGACCCACCGUUUUGAAGCUUAGAGAUAGGGGUACAAUAUUGCAGAAGGUCACUCAACCCAGUUUCGAGUGUAACCAGGUCAAAAAUGCAAGAAACUAUACCAGAAUCACAAAAACAGAUUCACAAAACGCAUUCUAGCGGAAACAUCAUAACUCAGGCUCUCCAAGUCAAAAUCCAUAAAUUCCAAAACCAUCUGAAAGCUAAGAAACAGGGCUACAUUUCAUCAGAAGGCCUCAACAACCAAUUCGGAAGCAAUUCCAGCCAAAACAACCAAUUACAGUCGCAAAUCCCAAUUUCGGGUAAAACCAGAACAGCAAUAGUAAUUUUGACUUUUCUC